CCUACGGGAGGCAGCAGUGGGGAAUAUUGCACAAUGGGGGAAACCCUGAUGCAGCGACGCCGCGUGAGUGAAGAAGUAUUUCGGUAUGUAAAGCUCUAUUAGCAGGGAAGAAGAAAGACGGUACCUGACUACGAAGACCCGGCUAACUACGUGCCAGCAGCCGCGGUAAUACGUAGGGGGCAAGCGUUAUCCGGAUUUACUGGGUGUAAAGGGAGCGUAGACGGCUGUGUAAGUCUGAAGUGAAAGCCCGGGGCUCAACCCUGGUACUGCAUUGGAAACUGUGGAGCUAGAGUGCUGGAGAGGUAAGUGGAAUUCCUAGUGUAGCGGUGAAAUGCGUAGAUAUCAGGAGGAACACCAGUGGCGAAGGCGGCUUACUGGACAGUAACUGACGUUGAGGCUCGAAAGCGUGGGGAGCAAACAGGAUUAGAUACCCUGGUAGUC
rnacentral:rRNA from 1 species